rnacentral:antisense_RNA from 1 species
UGUGGGAGCUGGCUUGCCUGCGAUGCAGGCAACUCGGUACAGCAGGCACACCCGGUUGAUGCCAUCGCAGGCAAGCCAGCUCCCACC